AGCUUGGCGUGGCCUGGCCUGAGACAUCUGUGGCUUGCAGGGUCGGAUACUCCUGAUGGUAAGCAGAAACCUGGGACACAAAGACCUGAUGGAAAUGCCCAGGGGUGGACAGCCUGCUAAGCUCACAGUGACACACUUUCCUGUCUCUUGAAGAUGAAUAUCUGAAGCUCUGCAAGACAGAUUAAAGCACAGGCACCAGCAGUGCACGCAAAGAAUCUAUUCCCAGGACCAUGAAAGGAUGCCAAGCCAUUCUGCUUUCAAUUACAUCACCCAGGUGGGAAUUCCCCUGCUUCUAUUGUCAAGGUUGAGAGGUGAAGUGGAAACGGAACAGCGGCGUGAGAGGAAGUUGGGCAAAGAAUCAUCAGCAAGAGAGAGACAAAACACAACAGAAGUUAACUGGCAUACAGGCACUGGAGCUGCAGGUGGCAUUUCUGGGAAUCUUUUUGGCACACAGGUGAGUUUUCAGGUAGGUGAAGGCUGGACAUGUGGGGAAAGACAGUGGAGCUCCAAUGCCAGAGCAAGAAGCAAACAGGGAGCCCUGGGAAGAGGCAACCUAAUCUCUGCCACCAAUCCUCCUCUGCAAGGGGCAUCCAGGGUGCUCUGGGCGGCUGAGCAGGAGUGUAGGGUGGGGAGGGAUUUCUGGCUGCCGGCAAAAGC
rnacentral:lncRNA from 1 species